rnacentral:rRNA from 1 species
AAACAUAGCUAUAAGUUAACAUUUAUAGUUUAACCUGCCCAAUGUAAAGUAAUAUGAAUGGCCGCGGUACUGUGACCGUGCUAAGGUAGCGUAAUCAGUUGGCUUUUAAAUGGAGUCAGGAAUGAAUGGGAUAACCGGGCUUAGCUGUCUCUUUUUUAAUAAUUUGAAUUUACUUUGUAAGUGAGAAAGCUUACUGUUUGAAGAGGGAGGAGAAGACCCUUAGAAUUUUACUUAUAUUGUUUAAUCAUACUGGUUUUGUUGGGGUGACAAAGAAAUAUAUUAAAACUUUCUUUAAAAUACUUGCCGAUUAUAUUAAGUGAGAAUAGAUUACCUGAGGGAUAACAGCAUAAUUCUACAUUUGAGUUUGUGACCUCGAUGUUGGACUAGGAAACUAGCGAGCUAGCCGUUUGCUUUGUGGGUUCUGUUCGAACUGUAAUUCCUACGUGAUCUGAGUUCAGACCGG